AUCCAGCUGACGAGUCCCAAAUAGGACGUCGUGGAU
rnacentral:hammerhead_ribozyme from 1 species